CACAGGUCUCAGAAUAUGGCAAAUUGUGCCCUAAAUGGUAUAAGGCUUCAUUGAUAGAGAAAUAGAGAAGAAAGGAUUGCUCCUCUCACAUGGACCACACCAAGUACUCUUCCUAGGAGAAUGAAACAUCACUUAGGAGACUAAAUUGAGACGGAUUGAGAAUUCACUUUAUUAGAAGAAACACCUUCAUUUUUC
rnacentral:lncRNA from 1 species